rnacentral:rRNA from 1 species
UACGUAGGGCGCAAGCGUUGUCCGGAAUUAUUGGGCGUAAAGAGCUCGUAGGCGGCUUGUCACGUCGGGUGUGAAAGCCCGGGGCUUAACCCCGGGCUUGCAGUGGAUACGGGCAGGCUGGAGGCAGGCAGGGGAGAACGGAAUUCCCGGUGUAGCGGUGAAAUGCGCAGAUAUCGGGAGGAACACCGGUGGCGAAGGCGGUUCUCUGGGCCUGUACUGACGCUGAGGAGCGAAAGCGUGGGGAGCGAACAGG